UACGGAGGGAGCUAGCGUUGUUCGGAUUCACUGGGCGUAAAGGGUGCGCAGGUGGCCAAGUGUGUCAGGUGUGAAAUCCCGGGGCUUAACUCCGGAACUGCGCCUGAAACUGCUUGGCUAGAGCAUUGGAGAGGGAAGUGGAAUUCACGGUGUAGCAGUGAAAUGCGUAGAUAUCGUGAGGAACACCAGAGGCGAAGGCGACUUCCUGGACAAUUGCUGACACUCAGGCACGAAAGCGUGGGUAGCCAAAGGG
rnacentral:rRNA from 1 species